rnacentral:SRP_RNA from 1 species
GCCGGGCGCGGUAGCAUGUGCCUGUAGUCCCAGCUGCUCGGGAGGCUGAGGUGGGAGGAUUGCUUGAGGCCAGGAGUUCUGGGCUGUAGUGCGAUAUGCCGAUCGGGUGUCCAUACUAAGUUCAGCAUCAAUGUGGUGACCUCCCGGGAGCGGGGGACCACCAGGUUGCCUAAGGAUGGGCAAACUGGCCCAGGUCAGAAAUGGAGCAAGUCAAAACUCCCAUGCUGAUCAGUAGUGGGAUCGCGCCUGUGAAUAGCCACUGCACUCCAGCCUGGGCAACCUAGCGAGACCCCGUCUCU